CGGAGGGUGCAAGCGUUAUCCGGAUUCACUGGGUUUAAAGGGUGCGUAGGUGGGCCAGUAAGUCAGUGGUGAAAUCUCCGGGCUUAACCCGGAAACUGCCAUUGAUACUAUUUGUCUUGAAUACUGUGGAGGUCAGCGGAAUAUGUCAUGUAGCGGUGAAAUGCUUAGAUAUGACAUAGAACACCAAUUGCGAAGGCAGCUGGCUACACAAAUAUUGACACUGAGGCACGAAAGCGUGGGGAUCAAACAGGAUUAGAUACCCUGGUAGUCCACGCCCUAAACUAUGGAUACUCGACAUUUGCGAUAAACUGCAAGUGUCUGAGCGAAAGCAUUAAGUAUCCCACCUGGGAAGUACGAUCGCAAGAUUG
rnacentral:rRNA from 1 species